rnacentral:rRNA from 1 species
GAUGAACGCUAGCGGCAGGCUUAACACAUGCAAGUCGAGGGGCAGCACGUCUUCGGAUGGUGGCGACCGGCGCACGGGUGAGUAACGCGUAUGCAAUCUACCUUUUACAGGGGCAUAGCCCGGGGAAACCCGGAUUAAUAUCCUAUAGUACCAUUAUAUAGCAUUAUAUUAUGGUUAAAGUUUCGGUGGUAAAAGAUGAGCAUGCGUCCUAUUAGCUUGAUGGUAAGGUAACGGCUUACCAUGGCUAUGAUAGGUAGGGGUCCUGAGAGGGAGACCCCCCACACUGGUACUGAGACACGGACCAGACUCCUACGGGAGGCAGCAGUGAGGAAUAUUGGACAAUGGGCGCAAGCCUGAUCCAGCCAUGCCGCGUGCAGGAAGACGGCCCUAUGGGUUGUAAACUGCUUUUAUACGGGAAGAAACNCCCCUUCGUGAAGGGACUUGACGGUACCGUAUGAAUAAGGAUCGGCUAACUCCGUGCCAGCAGCCGCGGUAAUACGGAGGAU